CUCUUUUUGAUCUUGUCGUUUGAUCAGUAGGGGUUCUACGUUGCGUAUUCAGAUCUGUUUGGUGUGUACAUACUGCGCUGCCUCUGUUUGCCAAGAGGCAUUCUUAGAUAGAGCUACGUCGGUGGUUUCAAAAUGACUCACGUGCUUUUGCUGUGUGACAGUUUAACCUGCUUGGAAGCAGCUGAGCCCUGGUUUGUUGCCCCCCCCCCGCCAUUAGGGAGCUCCUGCUGCUUGCAGUUGCAUGGUUGGAGUUGUGGUAGAACUCCACAUGCUAAUCCAGCUGAAGUAAGCCAUGGCAGCUCUUACAAAGGUAAAGGUCUACACGAGACACCUCUGCUAAACGCGUCAUGUAAAUCCUUAAAAAUUGUGUGGGGUUGUGUUAGAA
rnacentral:lncRNA from 1 species